UUUUUUUUUGUGUGUGUUUUCCCGUGAUAAGAAUAUACCGUUUGAUGUGUGCUUAGAGAGUUGAGAAUCCAAGAUUCAAAAAAAGGCUGCAAUCAUAAAUUCAGUAAUGUGAAAGGUAUGCCACUGGAUUUGACAUGAAAUGUACUUUUGUAUUACAAAUUUAUUUUAUUUGAAAAAAUCUAUGGUUCUUGGUCAAACUCUUACUUGAAAGAAUAUGCCACUCCAGACGGUGUUCCCGAUGUGUGAUCAAAAUAUACAAUUGUAUUUUGCUAAUAUUCACUUGAACUAUAUAUCGGACGGAAAUUUCAAUUGAUAAAAACCAGUUUGGAAGUUUUUUUAAAUGUUUUCCGGUAUAACAAUAUACUGUUUGAUGCACUCUUGGAGGUUCAAGAAUCCAAGAUUAAAAAUAUGUAGCACUGCAAUCAUACGAUAAUAUGAAAGUUAUGGCAUUGGAUCUGUCAUGAAAUGUACUUUUGUAUUGCAUUUUUUUUAUUUGAAACAAAAUAUUUUAUCAGCAUUUUCGGUCAAACUAUUACUUCAAAGGCUCUGCAAGUCUGUGAUUAUCUCCCUUUCUUGAGAAAAAAUAUUCAACGUACUUAUUGCUAUAAAUAUUCUUAAAAAUGAAAUUAGUAUAUUGUGAAUCAGAGGGUGAUAUAAUUUUUAAGACAAUCAGAGGCCUGUUUGGUUCAGCUUUUAUCGACGGAUUCCGCUGCCGCGUAGCAGAAUCUGAACCAAAAGGCGAACCCAGCUGAAUCGGAUUCCAGAAAUCCGCUGCCAAAAUCUGAACCAAAAGCAGAAGCAACCCAGGACGUGCUUUCCAAAAUCUGAUUCCGCUGCGGGCUAAAAUCUGAAAAAGCUGUAUCAGCUAGUUUGCCAAAUGACCAACAUCUUUUUCACAUCAGAUUUUCCACGGCUGUUUUUCCACAGCAGAUUUUUCACAGCUGAAAUUCACGGCCGAACCAAACAGGGCCAGAGGUUACAUACAUAGCAUUACAUAAGCUCUACCCUUUUUAGGGGUUACCACCGUUUCUUUUUAAGUACUCCCCUCUGUAAAGAAUUUAGUCAUCUAAGAGUAUCUACAGUCGGACAUGGCAAAUUCGACCCCUCAAACGCCCGCAGACGUGCCCGAUUGUAUUCAUGGACAGUGACCGGUCACCCUUCAAAAAAUUCAUUCCACAUCCGAAUACCUCAAAUUAGAAACUUCAAAUCUAUAUUAUUACAUGCAACAUGAAACCUAAUCUAAGAGGAGCUUGUCCGGUUCCGCUCCCCGCUCGCCCGGCUCUGCCCUGGCCAUGUCCGGCGGCCGGCUGUGCUCCUCACAGUGUUGGUCAGAUCACCGGCAAGGUAAGGUAGGGCAUGGGACACGAUCCGGCUCACGAGACUCAAGGCGCCUUCGUCUCCCAUGCCCUACUCUUCCUCAUCGGAGCCCGGAAUCCGAACAGUGUCGGUGGACGUCAGAUCGAUGAUGGAUACGUCCGGGGACAAGUCGCCGACGUCCACCACGAUGCGGUUGCGGCACCCGGACUGAUGUGCCAUACGGGCGCCGGAGAAUGCGACUUCGCCUCGCCGACGUCCGCCGCCGCCUCCCGCGCCUGGUGCCUUGCACGACGGGCACGUCGUGCCAUGACCUCGUGGAACGAUGGUGCGUCCUGAAUAUCGGCACGCCACCGGAGGGGUUGCGUGUCCGCCAGUGCGUUCGGACGCCAGACGGACCGCACGGCCUCCGUCGAGACGCCAGACGGACCGCACGGCCUCUGUUGAGACAGCUACGACUGGCCUAGCGCCGGAUCCAUGCGCCAUUUGAGCGGACACAAUGGAUUCUCGACGGAUGGAGUCCCAGCGCCGCCGUGCACGGGCCUCCUCCCUGGCGCGGCGGUGCGCAAGAUGGACGGCCAUCUCCUCCUCGGGGCCGCGUGGGAUGAGCUCGGGGUCGACGGAUUCGCUGCCCGCCAUUGCCGAAGACGACCAGAAGGAGCCGGAGACGAGCUUGAGUGGCGGAGAGGAGUGCAGGGGAGGGGAGUGAAGUGGCUAGGGUUUGGUCCGGCGAGCGAAUGGGAAGAAUUUUAUGUGGGGUUGGAUGAGACAGCGUGGGUCGGGUCCAACUUGACGGGCGCCCUCAUAUCCGCUCAAUAUUUGGGCUGAAUAUGGGGGUGCCGGUUAGCCCGGGUGUUUGAGGGCCAUUUGAGGGGCCUCUCUGGAUCAAAAAAUCGUGACCGGGCGGCCCGCCCAAAUGUAUAAGGCGUGUUUGAGGCGACCGGGUGUAGAUGCUCCUAACGUUCUUGUAUUUCGUUAUAGAGGGACCACCAAUAACAUCCGGCUCAUCGCUAUGGCCUCAGUUUCUUUAGCUGCUGGUUGUUAUCUUUGGUUAUCCACCUCCACCUCCCAAAGUUGUCAUGUCGUUUGUUGAAACUGUCACGGACCUAGCCCAUGAUGAAACACGUUUUGGGCCGUGGGCAGGGGCCGAGGCAUGACAGACACUUUUUUUCUAGUGAAAGAAAAGAGAGAAGGCAUGACAGAGACCAGCAACUUUGCGAGCAAGUUGCCAUUAGCGAGAGACCGGACCGGAGAAUGUGAUUGCAGGGGGAGUCGAUGGAGGCCAGUCGAGGGCAGCAACUGCUAGAGAUGGCAAGAAGCAGAUAAGGCAAGCAACAGUGCAGCCACCCCGCGUGGCGACAGCCAUGGCGCCCCUGGGACGUGGGCGCCAUGUGAGCAGCGCGGCGCUUCCUUCCACGGCGGGCCCGGCCGCCUGGCCGCCGGUCGCCGGAAGAGGCCAAGAGUCGUCGUCGUCGUGGGUGCGGGUGGUCCUGCCCGCCAGCGCACCAGCGGCAGCGCGCGUACGCAUGCAAAUGCAAGGCAGAUGUACGUAGUACUCCCGUUCUGAAUUACUUGUCUUAGAUUUGUCUAGAUACGGAUGUAUCUAGACUCAUUUUAGUGCUAGAUACAUCUGUAUCUAGACAAAUCGAAGACAAGUAAUUUGGAACGGAGGGAGUACGUGCGUGCAUUAUUGGUUUUGAACCGAGGCCGUGCGGCUGCAGAUUGCAACGGGCUGCAUCGCAUCACCGUCUUCAUCGCACAGUGACGAACCGGACGUACGUGCGCGCGUGCGUGAUCUGCGUAGAUCGACUGACUGGCUAGCUGGCCCGUUCACGUGCCACGCCUGACGAUGCCGAUGGGUGUUACUGUCACUUGGACGGGAGACACGCAGGCGGGCCGUUGCCGACCCUCUCCUCUCCGCUCCUCUCCUCGGGGAACAGCCUCCAGCGGGCGGGAGCGUGCCCGGCGCAGCGGCGUCACAGGCUCACAGUGGGGAGCAUGCAUGUGUGGUGGCAGUGCCAGACCCGGCCGGGCCGGACCCCUCUCCUGGCUGGGUAUCGUGCGCGUCUGCAGACACGACGACAGGCCGGUAACGAACGGGAGCAGAGCGAGACCGGGUUUAUUUGGCAAUGCUAUAGGUUUCGUCGUCCGUGACCGCCCUGUCGCCGCCCGCUAAAAAAAAGCCAGCUAAGCAUAGAUUUCUUGUGGUGAAACCAACCGCUCAGGUUUAAGUCCCUAGACUUGACACGGAUGGAUGUCGCAAGUUUCAUAAACUAGGUAACGCCCCGCGUGUUGCAGUAGAUUUCUUUAACAGUGAAAUUAUUAAAAUUAAAAUUAGAAUAUAUGAUAAUAGUACCGCACCACAUUGAACGUAGAGAUAAAUGGAGGAUGGAUGCAUGUUAUAUUGUCAUGUGACAUUGAAGUUCAGUUAUUUAUUAAUGAAAAUUAAAUUUAAAACUAGAUAAUGUGGGAGGUUUUGAUUCUUCUUUGAUGAUGUGGAGGGCAUGCAUGUGGUGGAAAGUGAAUUGAUUGUUCAUCCGCAAAAAAAAAAUAGUGAAGUGAUUGCGUGCACUUGAUGAUGUGGAUGGUUUGCAUGUGCAUUCAAAUAGGAGGGGGCAUGUGUGAACAUAUGUGAUGAGUGUAUAGAUUGCAUGUUAAGAUAAAUAAGACAGUGAAGAUGAAUUUCUUAGACUAGCCACAAUGGAGAGUAACAUACACUAGUAACAUACAGAUAUCUGUAGACUAUGUUACUACCUUCAUAGUGGGUAGUAACAUAAGUUUGGUGUCAUGCAAAGCUUCAUUUAUUAGGUAAUAGACUCAUACUGCAUUGGGACAUGUGAUGUUACAGUAACUAGUUAAGUUACUCAAAUUACCUCUCUCCUCAUUAACUCAUUGCCACAUAAGCAAAUUUGUUGAGUUGGAGUCGAUGUUACUGCUGAAGUUACUCCCACUGUGGCUAGUCUUAGGCCUAUACUAGCACAUAUGCCGGUGUUGUAACGGAAAAAAUAUUUAUUACGAGAAGCAACAGGAGAAAAAUGAUGUGUCAUCCAAAAUCAGUCUCCGCAGUGGUGGCCGACAGAGCUAGGAGCUGCGAUCUUCUCGCGGGUCAUGUUUGGCCUACGAGAUCGUGAUAGUGGUGGGGUUGGACGGUAUCUCUUAUCACGGCUUAACCAGAUGAAUUACUAAUUGCAGUGCAUAAAUCAAAGACCCGACGACGUGGUGCCAGCUAGUCGAACAAACAUGCCCUAAUAACCAAUGAGCAGCGCGAAUAUUUAAGAAAAUAAUGCAAUGUUAGAUUCGAAACAUUUUUAUUCAAACUUAUCAUAAAAAAUAUGAAUUACUUUGCAAAUAUUCUUUGAAACAUGAACAAAUUUUGAUAUUCCAAACAGUUUUUUUGAAAAUUAUGAAUGUUUCCGACAAACAUGGAAAACAUUUUCAAUUCGCAUAUUUUUCAAAAUUCACAAACAUUUUCUGAAAACAUGAACCUUUUAUAAUAACAUGAAAAAAAUGAAUUAGUGAACACCUUUUUAAAAUGGAAACAUGUUUUGAACAUUCAGAGCAAAUUUUGAAAAUGUGUUUUUCAAAUAAGAAAAUUAUUUUAAUUUCGUAAACAUUUCACUAAAAUAACAACAUUUUCAGAUUUGAAACAUUUUUAAAUUCAAAAGGAAAUAUUGGAAAUCAUGAUUAAUUGUGCGAAAUACAAACAUUUUUUGGAAAAUUGAGAAAAAGGUUAAAUUUCCAAAAAAACAUUCAAAACAGAAACUUUUUCAGAAUUUGAAACCUUUAUCGAAAACUUGAACAAAAAUGAGAAUUCUGAGGUUUUUCGAAAACUUCUAAUUUCUUAAAAAGAAAAAAAGAAAUUAAACUUGAAAGUGAAAAAAGUAAAAUGAAAUAGAAAAGAAAAAUAGAAAGAAACAGAAAAGAGACUGAACAGAGGAUAAAACAAAAAUGGGCCGGCCAAUAUUGGGCGACCUGUGCGAAGGUCUGGGUAUUUGACGCUCCCUGCGGCAAACAGGGUUCUUCCAGUUGUGGGGGCAGGAAAAUAAGCGGUCUGGCUUCGCAGGACCUUGGCGCGCGGUACAAAAUCCUGGACAAAACAUUUUUCUUUUCUAGCAUAUGAAUGUACAAAAAUUUAAUACCACCUCGGGUUAAAAAGAAAUCUUUUCGUCAGAGGACGGAUGAAAAAAAUAGAAGAAACGCACCUUGCUUUAUUAGUAGGUAUAGAUAGAAUUUAUUUCAACUUCUCUGGUGAGGCAUCCGUUAAUCUCAAGAUAUAUGCCUCCUCGGUCUCUCCAGGGUGCUCCGAGCAUCCAAACCUUUUAUUUCGAUUUAAACAAUAAUUUGUCCCUACAUGACAUUCCUUUCAUGAAUGACAUUAUUAACUUAAUUAAUAUCUUUGUGGAACCAGUCCAAAGGAUGUACCCAAAUACCAUACAGUCAGUGGCGAUUCUACGUGUAAUCCACGGGUCAGUUGACCCCACAGCUCUCAGAGAAAAUAGCCUACAAAUACUGUACAGUUACUGUACAUUAUGAAGAAAAUUAUCUCAAAAAUUACCAACAUCCUACAGAUUAUUCCCGUUGGUUUCACCCACUGCAUAUAGUGCUGCACUUUCGGCUAAGCUUAGAGGAAGCUAGGUGCAUUUGUGUAUGUAUUCGUCUGUAUUUGUACUGUGUUUAUAAAAAGAAAACGCUGAAUGAUAGGCCAGUAAGCGCCGUUUGAACAAUUAUUCAUACAGUCAAGACCGAAACCCAGGCUGUCAUGCGAGUCCAGCCGGACCAUCGGACAGAGGCACAGAUCCACAGAGGCACCGGUGCCUGGUACUGCCAGUUAGAAAGAUUCGCAGAUCAUGCUUCCAAAAACCGCAUCGAUGUUUCUUUCAUAGCCACCAAUCAUAACGACCGAGAAAACGGAAAGUGCAUGGACGAAUCUAGGUGCAUAUGAACCCACUUUGAAAAACAAAUUUUUAUAUGGUAAAAAAAUCCGAAAAAGAUGGCAUCGGUACGUCUUCGUGUUCUACGUGCAUGCAUAAAGUUUCACGGAAAAAUAACUUUUUUUGACUAAAAAAUUGUUUUGUGAAACGCUAUUUAGAAGCACUGGAAUUUGUCUUUUUUACAAAGACAAAAUAAAAUGACAUUUUUUCACAAAACUUUGCACCGCGCACACACAUUUGUGAACAUGUAUGCAUGAAACUUUCAUUUGAUUUUUUUGAGAUUUUAAAAUGUGCUUACAAUGCAUUCUUUUUGAGAAGUGGGUGCAGAUGCCCCUGGGUUCAGAUCGUGCCCACUCCCGAGAAAACCUGGAUCUUCCACGUCAAUGCAGAUUCUGAUCACAAGUAUUACAACGUCUUGGCUUGAAUCUUCCACUGUUGCAUUAUCGCAAGAGGUGUUUCGUUGGAGGGCUCAACUCAUCGUCGCUAAUCAUGUUUUACUUUCAUUUACUCUGGCAAAUGAUGAGAUCAUUCAAGCAGCAGCAUAAACUACUUGUAAGGAAGACCAAGGAGAGAAGAACAUGACAGUUCAAGAUCACAGUUUGUGCCAAAGGCCGAGACCACACGCAAGUCAGGCCCAACCAUCAGAGAUGGAGAGCAGCGCCACGAUAUAGACACAUUCACAAUCACAGAUGCUCCUAAAUAGACAUGCAGAAACUGCACAAAACCUGUGCUCAGAGUGGCAUAAAUCCAGGUAUCGAUGUUUUGCAGCCAAGGUGUAUCCAGAUAUCGAAACAAGAUCGUAAGGCAGAAGUUUCCAUGUCAAACACGCAAAAUCACAAAGCAUUACAGCGUCUUCAACUCUUCAUGCAAAGGAACUGUCCCC
rnacentral:lncRNA from 1 species